rnacentral:rRNA from 1 species
GACGAACCGAGCGAACGUUGUUCGGAAUCACUGGGCUUAAAGGGCGCGUAGGCGGGUGCUCAAGUCCGGGGUGAAAUCCUCCAGCUCAACUGGAGAACUGCCUCGGAUACUGGGCGUCUCGAGUGUGGUAGGGGUAUGCGGAACUAUCGGUGGAGCGGUGAAAUGCGUUGAUAUCGAUAGGAACUCCGGUGGCGAAGGCGGCAUACUGGACCACUACUGACGCUGAUGCGCGAAAGCCAGGGGAGCAAACGGGG